UGGUAGGGGUAGUGCCGGCAGCCUGAAGCAAGGAACUGCAGCGAGGGUUAGAACUUCCAAGGCAGUUUAGAGCUGGGGACUGAGCUGCUGUGGUGCAGUCAGAUCAUGAGCCCGACCACGCCCUCGGGAGAGUGGUUCCUGAACCUGUGGGUGUCCCCCGCCGGGGUAUUUGGUGUGGCCUUCCUUGCCCGAGUGGCCCUGGUUUUCUAUGGGCUCUUCCAGGACCGGACCCUGCUCGUGAGGUAUACAGACAUCGACUACCAGGUCUUCACCGACGCCGCGCGUUUCGUCACGGAAGGGCGCUCCCCUUACCUGAGGGCGACGUACCGUUACACUCCGCUGCUGGGGUGGUUCCUCACUCCCAACAUCUAUCUCAGUGAAGUCUUUGGAAAGUUCCUCUUCGUCAGCUUCGACCUCCUCACCGCCUACCUCGUAUACCGGCUACUGCUUCUUAAGGGGCUGGGUCGCCGCCAGGCUUGCGGUUACUGUGUCUUUUGGCUUCUUAACCCCCUACCUAUGGCGGUGUCCAGCCGAGGCAAUGCGGACUCAAUCGUCUCCUCCCUGGUGCUUAUGACCCUGUACCUAAUAGAAAAAAGGCUCGUCGCGUGUGCCGCUGUAUUCUAUGGUUUCGCCGUGCAUUUGAAGAUGUAUCCGGUGACCUAUAUCCUUCCCAUAGCACUCCACUUGCUUCCGGAACGCGACAGUGACGAAGGCCUCCGUCAAUCCCGGUCUUCUUCCCAGGCUCGUCUGUAUGAAUUCAUGAAGAGGCUGUGUAAUCGGGCUGUGCUGCUCUUCGUAGCCGUUGCUGGACUCACGUUUUUUGCCCUGAGCUUCGGUUUUUACUACAAAUAUGGUUGGGAGUUUUUGGAGCACACCUACCUUUAUCACCUGACCAGGCGGGAUAUCCGUCACAACUUCUCUCCAUACUUCUACAUGCUGUAUUUGACCGCAGAGAGCAAGUGGAGUUUUACCCUGGGAAUUGCUGCAUUCCUGCCACAAUUCAUCUUGCUUUCAGCAGUGUCUUUCGCUUAUUACAGAGACCUUGCCUUUUGUUGUUUUCUUCAUACGUCUAUUUUUGUGACAUUUAACAAAGUCUGCACCUCCCAGUACUUUCUUUGGUACCUCUGCCUCCUGCCUCUUGUGAUGCCACUAGUGAGAAUGCCUUGGAGAAGAGCUGUGGUUCUCCUGAUGUUAUGGUUCAUAGGGCAGGCCUUAUGGCUGGCUCCUGCUUAUGUUCUUGAGUUUCAAGGAAAGAACACCUUUCUGCUUAUCUGUUGCGGCUUGCGGGAUCUUCAUUGCCGCAUGCGGGAUCUUCGUUGCAUCAUGCAGGAUCUAUUUCCCCGACCAGGGAUCGAACCUGGGCCCCCUGCAUUGGGAGUGUGGAGUCUUGACCACUGGACCACCAGGGAAGUCCCUCCUGUUCAGUUUAAUGAUUACCUUAAUGAAACAUUCUCUAAUUUAGUACCUCUAUUAUAUAGAGUGGAUAACAUUGCACAGUAAUUUCCCAUUUGUGUGUCUGAGCUAGCUAGACUGUGAGUUCCCUAGGGAUAGUGAUUAUUUCUUAGUCAUUGAUAUUACUUUCCUCGGGCUUUCCCAGAACCAAGCAAAGAUGAACGGGAGUAACCCAUGUCAUCAAGCUGCUAGGUGUGCCACAUACUUUCCUAGGUUUGUUGAAUUGAGUUGUACAUGAAUCUGUCAAGUGGGAACUGGGGAAAGUGAGCUUCUUUGCCCAGUGUCAAUGGAGGCAGCUGCGAAAAAGAAAGGGAGCAGUUUCUGGGUGCCUGUCAUUUCUCAAUGCCCUCGGUAUCCACCUGAUUUUCUAAGCUAGGAUCUUAUAAUCACCUCCUAUUACUUCUUCGUCCCUUGCCACCUGCCUUCCCAUCUCAUCAGUCACUGAUUCCUGUCAGCUCUACCUUGUAAUGUACCUGGAGCCUGCUGGCAUCUCGCCAUUCUACAGUUCAGGCCCUCAUCAUCUCUCAUCUGGCUCCUGACUGGUCCUCGUGCUUCCCAUCUCUCCCACCCUUUACUGCACCUCUCAUUUAUCCUCCCCACUGGUGCCAGAGUAUGCUUUCCGAAGCAGACUGAUCUUGUCACCAUCCCGAUAAAAGCAGCCCAGAGGACUCCAGGUGUGACCUGCGAGAAAAAGUCUAAAUUCUGUAGCAUCCUCCAUCUUGUGCCAGUUUCUCCUACUCAGCCUCACUCCAGCCCGCGGGAUAAUACAUAGUUUCCCGAAAUCACUGCACUAUUAAGCCUUUGCCCAUGAUGUCUCUCUGCCACGUGUGCUUCUCCUGUUCUUCAGAUGAACUACCAUUCAUUUUCUUAAGACCCAACUCACAGGCCUCUUCCUCUACCAGGAGGCAUGCAAGUACACGGGCCUCUCACUGUUGUGGCCUCUCCCGUUGUGGAGCACAGGCUCUGGACGCGCAGGCUCAGCGGCCAUGGCUCACGGGCCCAGCCGCUCCAUGGCACGUGGGAUCUUCCCGGACCGGGGCACGAACCCGUGUCCCCUGCAUCGGCAGGCGGACUCUCAACCACUGCGCCACCAGGGAAGCCCUCAAAACAACUUUUUAAUAUAAGUAUUAUUUGUGGACAAGAAAACAGACUCAAGUAAAUAUAUAUUUUUUUAAGGUCAUAGGCUUGUAAGGGAUGGAGCUAGAGUUGGAACCUAAAUCUGACUCUGCAACUGCCCUCUAUUGAGUGAUUCUCAGCCAGGGGCAGCUUUGCCCUCCACUCUGGGGACAUUUUUGGUGGCCACAACUGGGAGAUGUUACUGGCAUCUACUGGGUGCUGGGCAUGUACUGGGUACUGUACUGGGUACAGGCCAGUGAUGCUGCUAGACAUCUUACAAUGUACAGGACAGUGCUGACAACAAAGACUUUUCUGGCCCCAAAUGUCAACAGAGCCGAGGUUGAGAAACCCCACUCUAGACCAUGUUGACUCUACUGAAAAGCAAGAAAUCAAACGAAGUAAAUGCAUCUGCUAGGAGGCUAACCGGGCUGAAGAGAUGUCUUAGGGGCUUGAAGCCAAUCGUGAGCUACCGGCUUUAAUGAGAAAACAAGACUCUUCUGCCCAGUCCCUGAGCUGCCUCCGAUCUUAUGGUUCUUUCUCUACUGCAUUCACCCAGUCUUUCUUCAUUCCAUCUUUCUUCUCUUUUCCAACUUUUCGUCUCCUCAGCAGACUCUAAUUUAGCUUGGAGAAGGCAACCCAGAAAACUCCAACAUUUUCAGUCCUCUUUUCUGAUUAGAAGGUAGAGUCACUAUAUAAGAAGCUGCAGGUUUCAAACUGACAACAUCCCUAGAAUCUGGGAACAAGGUCAAAAAUGUCACCUUCUGAAAUUGUCAACAAAAAAAAAGGAUGAGAUGAAUAACUGUGGUAAUCUUCCCAGGAAAUAACCCAUCUAAGAAAUUCUUGCUAAGUGUGCUGCUGAUAAGACAUGGCUGUUUCCUGCUCUCAGCCAGGGUCCAAGAGUGCCUCCUCAUUGAAGGAAAGCAUUUAAAAUGUAACUUGUGUGAGAUAAACUGUAAUCUAGGAAAUUUUAAAAUGUUUGUCGUGGGGAAGUGUUCUAAAGGGGGAAGCUUCUGAUGACUCAUGAGUUUAACUGCCUAUAAUUGUUAAGGAUGCUUUGCAUGCUUUUUUUUCCUACAGCAGAAUAAACUCUAGAAGGGAGGAACCACGUUCAAUUUAUCAGUAUCUCCGGCAGCAGAGGCAUGGAUGAGUCAUUGGUAGAGAAGGGUAGGAAUUAGUGGUGCGUGUGUGAAUGGGGUUGUGGAAUGUCACAGAAGUACUAUUCCGAGUGAAGUUCUCAAUCAGGAAUCUAAUAACUUUUGUUGUACGCAAAAUUGUGUGUGUGUGCGCAGGGGGAUGGUGUGCAUUUAUUUGUGGGAAAUGUCUGUAGACUUCAUCAAAGGGGUCCUUGACCUCCAAAAAGUGAAGCCCACUCCCCUGGUGAUGAAAAUAUAACUACUGGGGAAAAGGAAAUAGAAAGAAGAUUAACCAGAAAAGGCAAGGGAAGUGAAUUCCCCUUAGGAGAGAGAUGUUUCCUUCUUAAAGUUCAGAUUUAUUGCUGUGUUUGCAUGAGGCCCCUUCAUGUACAUGUACAAGCAUGCAGUGGAGAGAUGAGCUGUGAGCAAACAUCAAGGCAGAGCAGAGUCCAUGCUCAGGGAUGCCGGCGAAAGAAUGAUGAGAGGACCUGGAGAGAAUUCAGGAGCGUGUGUGUGUGUGUGUGUGUUUGUGUGUGUGUGUGUGUAUGCACGUAUGUAUCAGAGGGGACAGGAUGAAUAUUAACUUGUCCAAGUAUGCCAACAUCAGUGCUGAUUUUGGGUUCCAAGGAUGUCCUGGGUUAGUCAAUAGUCACCUGUAAAAGAAGAAUUCUGUGAGGCUGAGUUCUAGGAAGCGGAGUAGGCAAUUAAGAUGGAGUCCUUCAUUAUUUUAGCCAAAAUUCAGGUGUAAGUUACAGAAACAAAUGUUAGCCAAGGGACUUAUUUGAAGUGUACUGGAUAGUUCAUAAACUCCAAAGAAAGAGCUGAACAAGAAAAUCUGGGAACACAAGAAGCUGGGCAGUCUGGGGACUUCCACAGCUGGUGACCAGCUCCAGUGACCUCCAGUCUGCAGAUCUCUGGGUCUAGGUUUUAAAUUUCCAAGAGAGAAGCUAACUGUUGGUACUGGUCCUAGAGAAGAGGAAACCGUGAGCCAAGGUAUUUCCUCAGUUAUUGCU